GAUGAAGAACGUAGCGAAAUGCGAUAAGUAAAGUGAAUUGCAGAAUUCAGUGAAUCAUCGAAUCUUUGAACGCACAUUGCGCCCGCCAGUAUUCUGGCGGGCAUGCCUGUCUGAGCGUCAUUUCAACCCUCAUGCCCCUAGGGCGUGGUGUUGGGGAUCGGCCAAAGCCCGCGAGGGACGGCCGGCCCCUAAAUCUAGUGGCGGACCCGUCGUGGCCUCCUCUGCGAAGUAGUGAUAUUCCGCAUCGGAGAGCGAUGAGCCCCUGCCGUUAAACCCCCAACUUUCCAAGGUUGACCUCAGAUCAGGUAGGAAUACCCGCUGAACUUAAGCAUAUCAAUAAGCGGAGGA
rnacentral:misc_RNA from 1 species